rnacentral:lncRNA from 1 species
AAUCUGUGAAUCUGUGAAUCUGUGAAACAACUAUAUCCACCAGUUCCCUCAGGACCUGUGAAUGUAUCUCAUCAGGUCCCACAGGCAGUCUCCUGGUUCCUUCUAGAGAGGGCCCACAAUCACUGAUGUACCUAUAGCCUUUCUUGUUGCCCUUGACAUCCAUGGCCAAAUUCUAAUAGGGCUUUAGCUUUCCUAACCUGAUCCCCGAUAUGACAAAUAAUAUUUUAUUUCCUUGCUACUACAGCCAUAUCUGAAUCCAAAACUGUCCCCUUUUAGAGAUACAUCUUCUGAGUUUCUUUACCCAGUCUGUCACAAUGAAAAGGCUCCUCUAUGAAACUGUUGUCUUCCUACUUCAUAUCCCUACUGUGCCCUGGGAGCUGUUGAAAUACUCUAUUCUAGAAAGUUUACCAAUUAUGUUACUUGAGAAUGACACUCAGACCUCUGUGGCUGCUUAACCAAAAAGUCUUCCUAUUUUAUUUGCUAUUUAGUACCUGUGCAUCAUAAUGAAUACUUCUGGAAUUAGCACGGGACGAAGGAAUGGCCUCAAGUUGUUCCAAGGGAGGUUUGGGUUGGAAAUUAGGAGAAAUUUCUUCUCAGAAAGAGUGGUUAGGCAUUGGAAUGGGUUGCCCACCGAGUUGGUGGAGUUGCCGUCCCUGGGGGAGUUUAAGGAAGGUUUGGAUGUGGCAGUUAGGGACAUGGUUUAGUGGGUGAUAUCAGUGGUAGGGGGAUGGUUGGACCAGAUGAUCUUGGUGGUAUUUUCCGACUUUAGUGAUUCUAUCAUCCUAUGGUUCUACGGUUUUAUUGUCAGCUUCCUGAUGGAUUUUUUUUCUGUGUCUUCAAAAAGCACCAACUUAAAAGUUAUUCAACAUCAGCUUGUAACUGUAGUAAGCAUCAUGUGCAGAAAGCCAUGACCAAGAAAGAAGCAAAAGGAGAUAGUCUCAGUGGAAGGGUCAAAAAUGAGGAGUUGGUUAUGUAUGUCUCUAAAUUCAGCUCCAGUGUCCAAUGA